ACUCCAGUGUUCUUGCCUGGAGAAUCCCAUGGACAGAGGAGCCUGACGGGCUACAGUCCGUGGGGUCGCAGAGUCGGGCACAACUGAGCGACUAUCACUUUCACUUUCAGGACUUCAGUAUGAUGUUGAAAAGGAGUUGCCUCGCUCCUGAUCUUAGUGGGAAAGCUCCUACUGUCUCACUGUUAAGAAGAGGGGAUUUGGACACAGAAGUAUGCAGAGAGAAGACAACAUGCAAACACAA